AUUGAACGCUGGCGGCAUGCUUUACACACGCAAGUCGAACGGUAACAGGCCUUCGGGCGCUGACGAGUGGCGAACGGGUGAGUAAUGCAUCGGAACGUGCCCAGUCGUGGGGGAUAACUAUCCGAAAGGAUAGCUAAUACCGCAUACGAUCUGCGGAUGAAAGCGGGGGACCUUCGGGCCUCGCGCGAUUGGAGCGGCCGAUGUCAGAUUAGGUAGUUGGUGGGGUAAAGGCUCACCAAGCCAACGAUCUGUAGCUGGUCUGAGAGGACGACCAGCAACACUGGGACUGAGACACGGCCCAGACUCCUACGGGAGGCAGCAGUGGGGAAUUUUGGACAAUGGGCGCAAGCCUGAUCCAGCAAUGCCGCGUGCAGGAAGAAGGCCUUCGGGUUGUAAACUGCUUUUGUACGGAACGAAACGGCUCUGGUUAAUACCCGGGGGUCAUGACGGUACCAUAAGAAUAAGCACCGGCUAACUACGUGCCAGCAGCCGCCGUAACAC
rnacentral:rRNA from 1 species